CACGGGGGGAGCAAGCGUUGCUCGGAAUCACUGGGCGUAAAGGGCGCGUAGGCGGGAUGGCAAGUCAGUCGUGAAAUCUCUCGGCUCAACCGAGAAACGUCGGCUGAUACUGCCGUUCUUGAGGGAUGCAGAGGAGACUGGAAUUCCCGGUGUAGCGGUGAAAUGUGUAGAGAUCGGGAGGAACACCGGUGGCGAAGGCGGGUCUCUGGGCAUUUCCUGACGCUGAGGCGCGAAAGCGUGGGGAGCAAACGGG
rnacentral:rRNA from 1 species